rnacentral:rRNA from 1 species
UACGGAGGGAGCUAGCGUUGUUCGGAAUUACUGGGCGUAAAGCGCACGUAGGCGGCUUUGUAAGUUAGAGGUGAAAGCCCGGAGCUCAACUCCGGAAUUGCCUUUAAGACUGCAUCGCUAGAAUCAUGGAGAGGUGAGUGGAAUUCCGAGUGUAGAGGUGAAAAUUCGUAGAUAUUCGGAAGAACACCAGUGGCGAAGGCGACUCACUGGACAUGUAUUGACGCUGAGGUGCGAAAGCGUGGGGAGGCAAACAGG